UGAACGCUGGCGGUAGGCCUAACACAUGCAAGUCGAACGGCAGCACAGUAAGAGCUUGCUCUUACGGGUGGCGAGUGGCGGACGGGUGAGGAAUACAUCGGAAUCUACUUUUUCGUGGGGGAUAACGUAGGGAAACUUACGCUAAUACCGCAUACGACCUCCGGGUGAAAGCAGGGGAUCUUCGGACCUUGCGCGAUUGAAUGAGCCGAUGUCGGAUUAGCUAGUUGGCGGGGUAAAGGCCCACCAAGGCGACGAUCCGUAGCUGGUCUGAGAGGAUGAUCAGCCACACUGGAACUGAGACACGGUCCAGACUCCUACGGGAGGCAGCAGUGGGGAAUAUUGGACAAUGGGCGCAAGCCUGAUCCAGCCAUACCGCGUGGGUGAAGAAGGCCUUCGGGUUGUAAAGCCCUUUUGUUGGGAAAGAAAAGCAGCAGGUUAAUACCCCGCUGUUCUGACGGUACCCAAAGAAUAAGCACCGGCUAACUUCGUG
rnacentral:rRNA from 1 species